rnacentral:rRNA from 1 species
GACAGAGGAUGGCAAGCGUUAUCCGGAAUGAUUGGGCGUAAAGGCGUCUGAGUAGGUGACUUUUUAAGUCCGCCGUCAAAUCCCAAGGGCUCAACCCUGGAACAGGCCGGUGGGAAACUACCAAACGCUGGGAGUACGGUAGGGGCUAGAAGGGAAUUUCCGGUGGAGCGGUGAAAUGCGUAGGAAGAGUACGGUCAAAAGAACACCAACGGGC